rnacentral:piRNA from 1 species
GAAGAGUAACAGUGUUGUAACAUGAAUAUU